rnacentral:antisense_RNA from 1 species
AGUGCCCACAGAAAUGGGCUUGAGGAUGGACCACAAGAACUGCUCAAAGCACCUGGACUAGUAACAAGAGAUGACAAGCUGAGGCCUACGAUGAUUUAGGCUGAGGAUACCAUCUGCCUGAGAGAACCCUCCUCUUGGAGUCUUGCUCCUCAAAAUGUGACUUCAGAGCCAGCAGCAUUGGCAUCCCUGGAAGCGUGGUACCAAUGCAUUCUUGGGCCUCAACUCAGACCUAUUCAAUCCAACUCUCCAGUUUAGCAAGAUCCCCAGGUGAUUUUUAUGUACAUUAAAGUUUGAAAGCAAUACUCUAAAGAACCAGAAAUGCCAGACCAGGGUCCAACAGGGAAACUGAAUGCCUAAGACAUUCAUUCAUUCAUUUACCCAUUCAAUAAAUACUUAAUAAGCA